UCAAUAAGCGGAGGAAAAGAAACCAACUGGGAUUGCCUUAGUAACGGCGAGUGAAGCGGCAAUAGCUCAAAUUUGAAAGCUGGCGUCUUUGGCGUCCGCGUUGUAAUUUGUAGAGGAUGCUUCGGCGAGGGCUCCGGUCUAAGUUCCCUGGAACGGGACGUCAUAGAGGGUGAGAAUCCCGUAUGUGAUCGGUUGCCUAAGCCAUGUGAAGCUCCUUCGACGAGUCGAGUUGUUUGGGAAUGCAGCUCUAAAUGGGAGGUAAAUUUCUUCUAAAGCUAAAUACCGGCCAGAGACCGAUAGCGCACAAGUAGAGUGAUCGAAAGAUGAAAAGCACUUUGGAAAGAGAGUUAAAAAGUACGUGAAAUUGUUGAAAGGGAAGCGCUUGCAACCAGACUCGUCCGCAGUUGCUCAGCCGGUCUCUUGACCGGCGUACUCUUCUGCGGCCGGGCCAGCAUCAGUUCGGGCGGCCGGAUAAAGGCCUCGGGAAUGUAGCACCCUUCGGGGUGUGUUAUAGCCCGGGGUGGAAUGCGGCCAGCCUGGACUGAGGAUCUCGCUUCGGCUAGGAUGCUGGCGUAAUGGUUGUAAGCGGCCCGUCUUGAAACACGGACCAAGGAGUCUAACAUCUAUGCGAGUGUUUGGGUGUCAAACCCAUGCGCGUAAUGAAAGUGAACGGAGGUGGGAACCCUCACGGGUGCACCAUCGACCGAUCCUGAUGUCUUCGGAUGGAUUUGAGUAUGAGCAUAGCUGUUGGGACCCGAAAGAUGGUGAACUAUGCCUGAAUAGGGUGAAGCCAGAGGAAACUCUGGUGGAGGCUCGCAGCGGUUCUGACGUGCAAAUCGAUCGUCAAAUUUGGGUAUAGGGGCGAAAG
rnacentral:rRNA from 1 species